rnacentral:rRNA from 1 species
AGUUACCAGCACGUUAUGGUGGGCACUCUAAGGAGACUGCCGGUGACAAACCGGAGGAAGGUGGGGAUGAACGUCAAGUCAUCAUGGCCCUUACGGCCUGGGCUACACACGUGCUACAAUGGUCGGUACAAAGGGUUGCCGAGCCGCGAGGUGGAGCUAAUCCCAUAAAACCGAUCGUAGUCCGGAUCGCAGUCUGCAACUCGACUGCGUGAAGUCGGAAUCGCUAGUAAUCGUGAAUCAGAAUGUCACGGUGAAUACGUUCCCGGGCCUU